rnacentral:rRNA from 1 species
ACGCUGGCGGCGUGCCUAAUACAUGCAAGUAGAACGCUGAAGGAGGAGCUUGCUUCUCUGGAUGAGUUGCGAACGGGUGAGUAACGCGUAGGUAACCUGCCUGGUAGCGGGGGAUAACUAUUGGAAACGAUAGCUAAUACCGCAUAACAGUAGAUGUUGCAUGACAUUUGCUUAAAAGGUGCAAUUGCAUCACUACCAGAUGGACCUGCGUUGUAUUAGCUAGUUGGUGGGGUAACGGCUCACCAAGGCGACGAUACAUAGCCGACCUGAGAGGGUGAUCGGCCACACUGGGACUGAGACACGGCCCAGACUCCUACGGGAGGCAGCAGUAGGGAAUCUUCGGCAAUGGACGGAAGUCUGACCGAGCAACGCCGCGUGAGUGAAGAAGGUUUUCGGAUCGUAAAGCUCUGUUGUAAGAGAAGAACAGGUGUGAGAGUGGAAAGUUCACACUGUGACGGUAUCUUACCAGAAAGGGACGGCUAACUACGUGCCAGCAGCCGCGGUAAUACGUAGGUCCCGAGCGUUGUCCGGAUUUAUUGGGCGUAAAGCGAGCGCAGGCGGUUAGAUAAGUCUGAAGUUAAAGGCUGUGGCUUAACCAUAGUACGCUUUGGAAACCGUUUAACUUGAGUGCAAGAGGGGAGAGUGGAAUUCCAUGUGUAGCGGUGAAAUGCGUAGAUAUAUGGAGGAACACCGGUGGCGAAAGCGGCUCUCUGGCUUGUAACUGACGCUGAGGCUCGAAAGCGUGGGGAGCAAACAGGAUUAGAUACCCCUGGUAGUCCACGCCGUAAACGAUGAGUGCUAGGUGUUAGACCCUUUCCGGGGUUUAGUGCCGCAGCUAACGCAUUAAGCACUCCGCCUGGGGAGUACGACCGCAAGGUUGAAACUCAAAGGAAUUGAC